rnacentral:lncRNA from 1 species
UAUCCGCAUUGCCCUUUCGUUUGCGAAAUAUCCAUCUUUCUCAACUAUGGUGGUAGAACUGUUAGCAGUUCAUUGAUCUGUCAAUCAGCAUACUCACGAGCAGCAUGAAAGGAUCACAGAUUGCCAAAACUUUGUCAGAUUCCACCAUGUCGUCAAGAUCAGGACUACGCAAAUUCAAAGGAAGCAACAGGAACAUUGGGUAACAUAUUUCAUCUGCUACCCGUAAAAAUAAUUUCUAGUAAUAGAACUCAUCUACUACAAAUUAUAUUGUGCAGCACCCAUACAUCUCAUGUAUUCUAGAUCGUAACUUGGAUCUAUGCAUAGCCUCGCUCUGGAUGCCACUAUUGUAGAACGCGACAGAAAACAAAAAGAUUUGGUACCGUGAGCACGCCUUGGAUCACAAUGGAGACUGCAUACUAGGUUCAAUAUUUUCGUUACUGACUCGUAGCGCACUGGAAGUAGAGUUUAUGACAAUCGGCGACGCAGAUCCCCAGAGCUAGGAUUUACAACCUCCCAACUGUGAGGAUGUACUCCCUCGUCUGCCCCUCGGACAGCCCUCUGGGAGGCGGUUGGAUAGUCCCUCGGACGGUAUCUCAGACAGCCCUUCGGGAGGACCAUCAAAAACCGAACGGUCACUCGGGCAACCCUUUGGGAGGACCCUCGAAACUCGGACAGUCACUCAGAAAGCCCGUCGGGAGGCACUCACAAACUAAGGCCGAAACUACGAUCUUUGUGCAGAGUUGCACACAUACGGUGUCAUCUAUCCAACACGACUUCGCCGUCCAGAACUAGUUCCUGUCGUAACCCAGACAACCUUUCGGCUCUACGAAACUAUUUCGCUAGGAGGGAGGGUGGAAGCCAGAUCAUGCAUGGCAUGUGUAUG